rnacentral:rRNA from 1 species
UACGUAGGAGGCGAGCGUUGUCCGGAAUUACUGGGCGUAAAGCGUGCGCAGGCGGUUUUGUAAGUCUGACGUGAAAUCCCCGGGCUCAACCUGGGAAUUGCGUUGGAGACUGCAAGGCUGGAAUCUGGCAGAGGGGGGUAGAAUUCCACGUGUAGCAGUGAAAUGCGUAGAGAUGUGGAGGAACACCGAUGGCGAAGGCAGCCCCCUGGGUCAAGAUUGACGCUCAUGCACGAAAGCGUGGGGAGCAAACAGG